AAUAAAACCCACACAUGCUCUUGACUUCAUGAGAUUCACCCUAAAAGAAUUGCAAAGAUACUGAUAUUACUGUCAUUUUCCAUGGCUGCAAUCAGCAUGCACACACAUGCACUGUAAAUGCAUGACCAGUAGCUGAUCUGCCGUCUCUGUACGUAGGUGUGGGGACUUUAGGGGUCUCUGCUGCACAGGCCAAAGCUGCUAAAUAUGGUACUGGAGCUGGAUUUGGUGGGGCUGGAGCUUUUCCGGGUGGUGCUGGUGGACUUUACCCUGGUAUAGGAGUUGGUUUAGGUGGUGUUGGAGCAGGUGGUGCUGGUGGAGUUUACACAGGGGCAGGAGGUGAAAAAUAAUUUUGCUAAAGAAUGGUUUAGGAGCUGCAAUC
rnacentral:lncRNA from 1 species